rnacentral:rRNA from 1 species
UACGGAGGGUGCAAGCGUUAAUCGGAUUUACUGGGCGUAAAGCGUACGUAGGCGGUUUGUUAAGUCAGAUGUGAAAGCCCAGGGCUCAACCUUGGAAUUGCAUUUGAUACUGGCAGACUAGAGUUUCGGAGAGGGUAGUGGAAUUCCUGGUGUAGCGGUGAAAUGCGUAGAUAUCAGGAGGAACAUCGGUGGCGAAGGCGACUGCCUGGCCGAAAACUGACGCUGAGGUACGAAAGCGUGGGGAGCAAACAGG